ACUCCUACGGGAGGCAGCAGUGGGGAAUAUUGGACAAUGGGCGAAAGCCUGAUCCAGCCAUGCCGCGUGUGUGAAGAAGGUCUUCGGAUUGUAAAGCACUUUAAGUUGGGAGGAAGGGUUGUAGAUUAAUACUCUGCAAUUUUGACGUUACCGACAGAAUAAGCACCGGCUAACUCUGUGCCAGCAGCCGCGGUAAUACAGAGGGUGCAAGCGUUAAUCGGAAUUACUGGGCGUAAAGCGCGCGUAGGUGGUUCGUUAAGUUGGAUGUGAAAUCCCCCGGGCUCAACCUGGGGAACUGCAUUCAAAACUGUCGAGCUAGAGUAUGGUAGAGGGUGGUGGAAUUUCCUGUGUAGCGGUGAAAUGCGUAGAUAUAGGAAGGAACACCAGUGGCGAAGGCGACCACCUGGACAAAGACUGACGCUCAGAUGCGAAAGCGUGGGAGCAAACAGGAUUAGAUACCCCUGGUAGGAUAGCG
rnacentral:rRNA from 1 species